AUUUGUGGGGUUGUGGCAGCCAAGACUACAGUGCUGUGUGGGUGCUGCCAAGUCGCCUUCUCGUGGGAGUAGUGUGCCCUGGGAGACGCAUACCAGAUCUGGAGGAGACUUGUCAGGAGCUGAAAUGAAGUAAGAUGGAGGGUUUAAGUCAUUUUCAGAGUGGAUUAUCCUGUUGACUGAGGGAGAGAGCAGAGCAUUGUGACUUACACUGAGCCCAGUCAAGAUCAUCUGCUACUCAGCUCCCUCUGGACUCGCUAAGCACACCUGUGUGUUUGUGUGUUCAAGGUCAUGGUAGUCUGCCCUGAAGGGGACGAGGGAACCUGAAGCCACCUGUGACUGCUCUAGCUAUAUGAGGGCGUGGGAGGCGCCAUUCAAACGACUGCAAGGCGACCUUCAGAGAAGACUUGCUGUUCUUUUACAACAGUCUAUUUAUUGUGUUUACAGAAAUUGUUACUUUUUCUUUUGUUUUCAUUACCAAUGUAUUUAUGACAGUGCUUGAUUAU